rnacentral:lncRNA from 1 species
GACAAAAGCAAGAGGAUAUAAACAGAGAAUGGGAAGUGUAUAAAAACAUCAUACAAGACGCUGCCAAAUAGACCUUGGGUCUACAAAAAAAGGUCAAAUCAACUGAAGGGAAGUGGUUCGAUGAAGAGUGUCGUAACAUAACAGAGAGAAAAAA